UGCAAGUCGAGCGGACGGAUGGGAGCUUGCUCCCUGAAGUCAGCGGCGGACGGGUGAGUAACACGUGGGCAACCUGCCUGUAAGACUGGGAUAACUUCGGGAAACCGGAGCUAAUACCGGAUAAUGCAUAACCUCUCAUGAGGUUAUGCUGAAAGAUGGUUUCGGCUAUCACUUACAGAUGGGCCCGCGGCGCAUUAGCUAGUUGGUGAGGUAACGGCUCACCAAGGCAACGAUGCGUAGCCGACCUGAGAGGGUGAUCGGCCACACUGGGACUGAGACACGGCCCAGACUCCUACGGGAGGCAGCAGUAGGGAAUCUUCCGCAAUGGACGAAAGUCUGACGGAGCAACGCCGCGUGAGUGAUGAAGGUUUUCGGAUCGUAAAACUCUGUUGUUAGGGAAGAACAAGUGCCGGAGUAACUGCCGGCACCUUGACGGUACCUAACCAGAAAGCCACGGCUAACUACGUGCCAGCAGCCGCGGUAAUACGUAGGUGGCAAGCGUUGUCCGGAAUUAUUGGGCGUAAAGCGCGCGCAGGCGGUCUCUUAAGUCUGAUGUGAAAGCCCACGGCUCAACCGUGGAGGGUCAUUGGAAACUGGGGGACUUGAGUGCAGAAGAGGAAAGUGGAAUUCCACGUGUAGCGGUGAAAUGCGUAGAGAUGUGGAGGAACACCAGUGGCGAAGGCGACUUUCUGGUCUGUAACUGACGCUGAGGCGCGAA
rnacentral:rRNA from 1 species